rnacentral:rRNA from 1 species
GAUGAACGCUGGCGGCGUGCUUAACACAUGCAAGUCGAGCGAGUGAGUUCUUCGGAACGAUCUAGCGGCGGACGGGUGAGUAACACGUGGGCAACCUGCCUCAUAGAGGGGAAUAGCCUCCCGAAAGGGAGAUUAAUACCACAUAAAAUUAUCGAGUGGCAUCACAUGAUAAUCAAAGGAGUAAUCCGCUAUGAGAUGGGCCCGCGGCGCAUUAGCUAGUUGGUGAGGUAACGGCUCACCAAGGCGACGAUGCGUAGCCGACCUGAGAGGGUGAGCGGCCACAUUGGGACUGAGACACGGCCCAGACUCCUACGGGAGGCAGCAGUGGGGAAUAUUGCACAAUGGGGGAAACCCUGACGCAGCAACGCCGCGUGAGUGAUGAAGGUCUUCGGAUUGUAAAGCUCUGUCUUUGGGGACGAUAAUGACGGUACCCAAGGAGGAAGCCACGGCUAACUACGUGCCAGCCGCCGCCGUAA